rnacentral:rRNA from 1 species
AUUGAACGCUGGCGGCAGGCUUAACACAUGCAAGUCGAGCGAGCGGCGGACGGGUGAGUAAUGUCUGGGAAACUGCCUGAUGGAGGGGUAUAACUACUGGAAACGGUAGCUAAUACCGCAUACCAUCAGAUGUGCCCAGAUGGGAUUAGCUGGUAGGUGGGGUAAUGGCCCACCUAGGCGACGAUACCUAGCUGGUCUGAGAGGAUGCCCAGCAACACUGGAACGUAUACACGUGCCAGACUCCUACGGGAGGCAGCAGUGGGGAAUAUGGCACAAUGGGCGCAAGCCUGAUGCAGCCAUGCCGUGUGUGUGAAGAAGGCCUGCGGGUUGUAAAGCACUUUCAGCGAGGAGGCGUUACUCGCAGAAGAAGCACCGGCUAACUCCGUGCCAGCAGCCGCGGUAAUAC